UGACAGGGAGACAGGUGGUGCAUGGUUGUCGUCAGCUCGUGUCGUGAGAUGUUGGUUAAGUCCCGCAACGAGCGCAACCCUACGUUUAGUUGCUAACGCGUGAAGGCGAGCACUCUAGACGAACUGCCGUUGACAAAACGGAGGAAGGUGGGAUGACGUCAAAUCAUCAUGCCCCUUAUGUUCUGGGCUACACACGUGCUACAAUGGCCGGUACAGACGGACGCAAAGCCGCGAGGUGGAGCAAAUCCUAAAAAGCCGGUCUCAGUUCGGAUUGCAGGCUGCAAUUCGCCUGCAUGAAGUCGGAAUCGCUAGUAAUCGCAGGUCAGCAUACUGCGGUGAAUACGUUCCCGGGCCUU
rnacentral:rRNA from 1 species